CAAAGUGUAGCUUAACUAAAGCAUCUGG
rnacentral:tRNA from 1 species